rnacentral:rRNA from 1 species
AUGAACGCUAGCUACAGGCUUAACACAUGCAAGUCGAGGGGCAGCAUGGUCUUAGCUUGCUAAGGCCGAUGGCGACCGGCGCACGGGUGAGUAACACGUAUCCAACCUGCCGUCUACUCUUGGACAGCCUUCUGAAAGGAAGAUUAAUACAAGAUGGCAUCAUGAGUCCACAUGUUCACAUGAUUAAAGGUAUUCCGGUAGACGAUGGGGAUGCGUUCCAUUAGAUAGUAGGCGGGGUAACGGCCCACCUAGUCUUCGAUGGAUAGGGGUUCUGAGAGGAAGGUCCCCCACAUUGGAACUGAGACACGGUCCAAACUCCUACGGGAGGCAGCAGUGAGGAAUAUUGGUCAAUGGGCGAGAGCCUGAACCAGCCAAGUAGCGUGAAGGAUGACUGCCCUAUGGGUUGUAAACUUCUUUUAUAAAGGAAUAAAGUCGGGUAUGGAUACCCGUUUGCAUGUACUUUAUGAAUAAGGAUCGGCUAACUCCGUGCCAGCAGCCGCGGUAAUACGGAGGAUCCGAGCGUUAUCCGGAUUUAUUGGGUUUAAAGGGAGCGUAGAUGGAUGUUUAAGUCAGUUGUGAAAGUUUGCGGCUCAACCGUAAAAUUGCAGUUGAUACUGGAUAUCUUGAGUGCAGUUGAGGCAGGCGGAAUUCGUGGUGUAGCGGUGAAAUGCUUAGAUAUCACGAAGAACUCCGAUUGCGAAGGCAGCCUGCUAAGCUGCAACUGACAUUGAGGCUCGAAAGUGUGGGUAUCAAACAGGAUUAGAUACCCUGGUAGUCCACACGGUAAACGAUGAAUACUCGCUGUUUGCGAUAUACAGCAAGCGGCCAAGCGAAAGCGUUAAGUAUUCCACCUGGGGAGUACGCCGGCAACGGUGAAACUCAAAGGAAUUGACGGGGGCCCGCACAAGCGGAGGAACAUGUGGUUUAAUUCGAUGAUACGCGAGGAACCUUACCCGGGCUUAAAUUGCAGAUGAAUUACGGUGAAAGCCGUAAGCCGCAAGGCAUCUGUGAAGGUGCUGCAUGGUUGUCGUCAGCUCGUGCCGUGAGGUGUCGGCUUAAGUGCCAUAACGAGCGCAACCCUUGUUGUCAGUUACUAACAGGUUCCGCUGAGGACUCUGACAAGACUGCCAUCGUAAGAUGUGAGGAAGGUGGGGAUGACGUCAAAUCAGCACGGCCCUUACGUCCGGGGCUACACACGUGUUACAAUGGGGGGUACAGAGGGCCGCUACCACGCGAGUGGAUGCCAAUCCCAAAAACCUCUCUCAGUUCGGACUGGAGUCUGCAACCCGACUCCACGAAGCUGGAUUCGCUAGUAAUCGCGCAUCAGCCAUGGCGCGGUGAAUACGUUCCCGGGCCUUGUACACACCGCCCGUCAAGCCAUGGGAGCCGGGGGUACCUGAAGUGCGUAACCGCGAGGAGCGCCCUAGGGUAAAACUGGUGACUGGGGCU